GNAUCGAGACCCAGCGUCCUCUGUUGCUACCUGGCUUUGUGCCAUGGCACACUAGAUAGAAGACCGCCGCUGAUAAAGCGGAGGAAAGGAGCGGGCCACAGGCAAGGUCAAGUAUGCCCCGAACUCUCCCGGGCCAUCACAGCGAUGCUAGCAAUGGCAGGUAUCAAUGGGUUCCGACCUCGCAAGGGGGAUGGCAAUCCCAGAAAGCCUGCCAGUAAGUUAGGAGAUCGAAGGAGUUAGAAACUUCAUUCCUCAGUAGACACACUGGAAUCCCCUAAGUAAUCAGCAUAGUCAACUAUAGCAGCAGCAGAUAGAAUAUCAUUCCCUAGCUACCUUAGCACAUCAACCCGCGCCAGUGCAGUUUCCAGCCCAGAUGUAGAUUUCUUAGGAGUAGAAGGCAGUAAUCUUUCUUAGGCUAGCAGUCAAAUCUAACGUUUAGCAAGGGGGGAAAACUCGAACCAAGGAAGCAAGAAUCCCAGCGGCCAUGGCAGGCCAAGAGCAUCUGCGGGGGGCAUGAACAAGCAUGCCAUGAACG
rnacentral:rRNA from 1 species